rnacentral:lncRNA from 1 species
GAGAAAACGUGUGAUAUGUCAUAAUUGCAGGUUAUGGUGAUGCCUCAAAAUUUACACCUAAAUGAGACAUUAGAGCAUCUACAAUGGUUGGUGCUUUACCUAUUUAACACCGGAAUAAAUAAGCGCCUCCAUCGUGAAGAGAAAAUGUUUGGUACUUAUAGAGAAUGGUGACUAUGUAAUCACUCUCUCUCUUUACUUUUCGUGGGCCAUACAUCAUUAAUUGUACACAAAUCAAGAAACUUUAAUGAAAUACAAUGACAUUGAAUUAUUAAUGACUUAUUUAGUAUCUUUUUUCUGAAGUGCUGGGUUGGAGAGAACGGAUGCUUAUUAAGUAAUAUCAUUGAAAAUUAAAAAAAUAGAUGACAUGUACAUGCACGACCCACUUAAACACUUAAAAUAGAGUGCUCUGUUGUAGAUGAUCUUAUAAAUAAAACUCUUUUGUACCUUAUUUCAUUAAUUUCAUUGCAAUCGCCGAUCUCCUUAGAGUAAAAACCAUAACUCCAAGAUUCAUGAAAUUAAUUCACUAAAAAAAAAAAGAUUCAUGAAAUAAGGGAAAAAAAGAAGGGAAAUAAAUACAAUUAUUCGAUGCAUGCACUGAAACUAAAUGUAAGCUCAUGUAAUAUUCUACAUUAGAUACAUUGUUCACUGAUUUUGCUAGCACGAGAAAUCAUUCAGAGGAUAUUUACACAAAAACCUUUACGACACCUAAUAUUAAAACUUUUGACCUUUGGACAAUCUUUAUCUUUUAUACAAGAAUAAUCUGCCAAAUUAAGAGAAUCAGAUAUUGUUAUGACAAAACAUAUGGAAAUAAAUAAAAUUAAAACAUAAACAAAUUUAAAAGUUUCAGCCAUAUUU